rnacentral:rRNA from 1 species
GGUUAAACAAAUAUUUUUAUGAUUUUUACUUUCCCGAAAUAAAAAGAGCUAAAAUUUUAAUUUUUAGAAUAAUAUUUAAUGUAGCAGUAUUACUCAAUAUUUAAUUUUAGAGGUGAAACGCCUACAAUUUUUAUGAUAUCUGGAUUUAAUUUAAAUGUAUUUAGUACAGGAAAUGAAUUAAAAAGUGUUAAGAUUUUUUAAAAAACCUACUUUUAACUUUCAUAAUUGGAGUAUAUCUCCAUUAAAAAAAUAAUGACGAUAAUUUCUUAUAUAUAAUGUGGUUAAUUUAGAUUUUUAAGAACUUAAUUAAAAGUUUUUAUUUAAUGUUUAAAUGAGUAUAAAUAAAAAUGUUUUAUAGGAACUCGGCAAAUAUCUAAUUCAACUGUUUACCAAAAACAUAGCCUUUUGAAAAUAUAAUAGGUGAUUCCUGCCCAUUGGUAUUCUUAACGGCCGCAGUACCUUGACUGUGCUAAGGUAGCAUAAUAAUUUGGCUUUUAAUUGGAGUCUUGAAUCAAAGGAAAAAUGAAUUUAAACUGUCUUUAAAAUAAAAAUAAAAUUUACUUAUAAGGUGAAAAUACCUUUUUAAUUUUAUUAGACAAGAAGACCCUUAGAGCUUGUAUUUUUGUUGGGGCGACAAGGUAGCAUAUAACCUACCUUUUUUACACGAAAAAAAAUUUGUAUGAAUAAGCUACCUAAGGGAUAACAGCAUAAUAUUUUUUUGUUUGUGACCUCGAUGUUGGAUUAGGAAUUUAAUUUACUAGACGUAAAAUUAAAAAGUUCUGUUCGAACAUUAUCUCCUACAUGAUCUGAGUUCAGACCGGCGUAAGCCAGGUCAGUUUCUAUCUU